AGGAGGCGGGGCGACGGUCAAGAUGGCGUCUGGAGACUGAUUCUUCUCCAGCGUCUUCGGAGACGCCGGGGCGGGGGUCCUGCCCUCCGUUGCUGACCUUCCUCUUCUCCCCCGCCCCGGAGACGUCCUCCUCCUUUUCUUCUUCUCACCCUGGGGGGUGAGGCGGGCCAGGUUUCCGGGACGCCAUGUCAGACUCUGAGGAGGAGAGCCUAGACCGGCAACUGAAAAUCGUCGUGCUGGGGGACGGCACAUCCGGGAAGACAUCCUUAGCUACGUGUUUUGCACAAGAAACUUUUGGGAAACAGUACAAACAAACAAUAGGACUGGAUUUCUUUUUGAGAAGGAUAACAUUGACAGGCAAUUUGAAUGUUACUCUUCAAGUUUGGGAUAUAGGAGGGCAGACAAUAGGUGGCAAGAUGUUGGAUAAAUACAUCUAUGGAGCACAGGGAAUCCUCUUGGUAUAUGACAUUACAAAUUACCAAAGCUUUGAAAAUUUAGAAGAUUGGUAUUCUGUGGUGAAGAAAGUGAGUGAGGAGUCAGAAACUCCACCACUUGUUGCUGUGGUUGGCAAUAAAAUUGACUUGGAGCAUAUGCGAACAGUAAAACCUGAGAAACACUUGCGAUUUUGUCAGGAAAAUGGUUUUAGUAGCUUCUUUGUCUCAGCCAAGACAGGAGACUCUGUCUUCCUGUGUUUUCAGAAAUUUGCUGCAGAAAUCCUGGGAAUCAAAUUAAACAAAGCAGAAAUAGAACAGUCACAGCAUAUUGUCAGGGCAGAAAUAGUCAAGUACCUGGAAGAAGAUAAUCAACAUAGCAGCUCUUCUCAGAGUAGAACCUGUUCAGUACAGUAGUGCAGGUUGGCCUUGAACUCAUGGCAGUCCUCCUUCCUCUGCCCCCAAGUUCUGGGAUUAAAGAGGGUGGUGAAGGCAGACAUUGUGAACUACAGCCAGGAACCCGUGUCAAGAACUGUUAACCCGCCCAGAAGCUCCAUGUGUGCAGUUCAGUGAGCGCAUUUGUCUUUUGUGUGGAUAGUGCUGGCUGCCCUUCACCUUAGAGCGGGCCCAGGCUGUCUAGGAACGUGUUUUAUCAGUGACCAUUUCUGUAGUGCAGUUCACACUUUCCUCAGCUCCUUCAUCAUUAAGCUUGCCUCACAGCCGCAGGCAGCUCUUUGGACUGGAAAGAAUUCAGCUUUGGGACCACACACUUUGAAAUCAAAAUGGAGAGUCUAUUUUCCAGAAUUAGACUGCUUUACUGCAGAAGACAGAUGCUGAUCCUUUAUGUCCUUGCUUUUUUCCAGGUGUAAUUUUUUUUUAACCAAAUAUGAAAACUCUUAAAGUCUUAAUCAUUAGCCAGAAUUUCCCCACAACAAGAUUCUUACUGGGACUGUCAUGUAUGUCAGACGGCACUGCAGAGCACUAAUAUUGAAACAAUGGACAGAUUUUACUUACUGUUACUUAAGAAAGCAUUUUUUUGCAAAAAGAAUAUAUGAAGUUGAAUCUAGCUGGAAAUGCCUGAAAGAAGUUGUAGUAAAAAUAUUUUUUAUUUUUUAAAAUGGAGGCUAAAUUGUUUACAUUGUAGUUUGUAAUUCACAAAGCUGUAUUUGACAGUGUAUUUUUAUGACUGCAUCAUGGUCGGUACAUAUUUUAUCAUACUCUGCUUAGAUGGCUCUAUGAAUUUUGGUACUUGUUCAGCUUCACAUGGCAUUUUUCCUACAAACUGCAUAAAAGCACCACCAGAAUGAGCUGUGACAUCCUGUUGGAUCAUUGUGGAUCACACUGUACCUGAUAUUUUACUCUCAGAAAUAAAUUUAUUUAAAUUAC